CGGGGUGUGGCGCAGUUGGCUAGCGCACUUCGUUAGGGACGAAGAGGUCGCCCGUUCGAGCCGGGUCACCCCGA
rnacentral:tRNA from 1 species